rnacentral:rRNA from 1 species
GACGAACGCUGGCGGCGUGCUUAACACAUGCAAGUCGAACGAAGAGCGAUGGAAGCUUGCUUCUAUCAAUCUUAGUGGCGAACGGGUGAGUAACGCGUAAUCAACCUGCCCUUCAGAGGGGGACAACAGUUGGAAACGACUGCUAAUACCGCAUACGAUCCAACCUCGGCAUCGAGGAUGGAUGAAAGGUGGCCUCUAUUUAUAAGCUAUCACUGAAGGAGGGGAUUGCGUCUGAUUAGCUAGUUGGAGGGGUAACGGCCCACCAAGGCAAUGAUCAGUAGCCGGUCUGAGAGGAUGAACGGCCACAUUGGGACUGAGACACGGCCCAGACGCCUACGGGAGGCAGCAGUGGGGAAUCUUCCGCAACGGACGAAAGUCUGACGGAGCAACGCCGCGUGAGUGAUGACGGCCUUCGGGUUGGAAAGCUCUGUUAAUCGGGACGAAAGGUCUUCUUGCGAAUAGUUAGAAGAAUUGACGGUACCGGAAGAGAAAGCCACGGCUAACUACGUG